rnacentral:rRNA from 1 species
UACGUAGGCAGCGAGCGUUGUUCGGAGUUACUGGGCGUAAAGCGUGCGUAGGUCGGUGUCUUAAGUUUGUUGUGAAAUCUCCCGGCUUAAACCGGGAGGGUGCGGCGAAUACUGAGAUGCUGGAGUGCCGGAGAGGUAAGCGGAAUUCCUGGUGUAGCGGUGAAAUGCGUAGAUAUCAGGAGGAACACCUGCGGUGUAGACGGCUUACUGGACGGUAACUGACGCUGAGGCACGAAAGCGUGGGUAGCAAACAGG